GUAAUUACUUCAACAGCAGAGCGACUCAUACAGCCGGCAGUCCACUUUGUUCUUCUAUAGAUCCUGCCUGUGGUGUUGGAUCUAACAGCUUCUUCCCUGACCCAAGAUUAUGAAGGAUUUCUCCUGUGUUCUCUUCUAAAAAUUUUACAUUUAGGUACAUAAUCCAUUUUGAGCUAAUUCUUUUAAAUAGUGCAAAGUAUGGAUUGAAGUUCUUUUUUUUUUUUUUUUUUGCAGAUACAUAUUUAAUUUUUCCAGCACCAUUUGUUGAAAAGACUAAUGUUCUUGCCUGAAUAGCCUUUGCAUUGUUGUUGAAAAUCAUGUUCACACAUGUACACAUUCCACUGAUCUAUUUGCCUCUUUGUGAAAAUACUACUAUUUUGAUUAAUAUAUAUUUAUAGGGAGUCUUAAAAUCAUAUCUUAAAAAGAUAGUGGAAGUUAUUUAACCUUACUCUUGCUUUUAGAAAUUGUUUUGGAUAUUCUAGAUCUUUUGUGUUUCCAUAUAAAUUUUAUAAUCAGUUUGGCAAUUUAUUUAAAAUAUUCUUCUGGGAUUUUGAUGGACAUUACACUGAAUCGAUGGAUCGCUUUGGGGACAACUGACAUCUUAACAAUAUUGAGUCAUCUAACAUAUGAUCAUGGAAAUUGCUCCAUUUAUUUAGAUCUUCUUUCACAUCUUGAAGCAGUGUUUUGCGUUUUCAGUGUAUAGGUAUUUAAUAGAUUUAAAAAUAUGAUCCCUAAAUAUUCAAUGUUUUUGAUGCUAUUGGAAUUUUAAAAAAUUAAUUUCUGUUCUGAGGAAGGAAAAUAAUAAAAGAUUAAACAAGAAAAAUAAAAAUAAUCAAAAUAAAAGAUAAAUCAUUGACAAAUAUAAUAAAAAAUAAAAUAAUAACAAAAAAUAUAAAAAA
rnacentral:lncRNA from 10 species